AUCGGCUGGUGGAAUGCAUAACAUGGCUGCUGCAUAGUUUUGGAACGCUAGGAAGUAGCUGCUGAACGUAACCAGAAGUGACAUCGUGGCGAAACCGGAAAUGAUGCUACAGCCAAAUACAAGUUUAAAAAAGAGGCUUGGAACACAUUACCUUUUAUAAAGGACAUCAAAAUGAGUCGUGAAACGCAUGCCAAAACCGGAAAUGAGGUCCACAUGGAUCGUAUAAAAGGGACAUUAUACACAGGGAGAUAAACUAAAGAAGCGUUAAGUUAGGUGAAAUGCGUUUUUAUCAUAUAUAUAUUGUGCCUGUGGAUUUUGAUUUAUCAAGUUUUUAUGCUGUUUUUAUAGUAUUCUUUUUUAAACAUUGGAUUCAAUAAAAACCUUUUUAUUCACAUCUGGAUUUAUGGAGAUCAUCUAUACCAGAACCAAAGGGUGGC